UGGCUCAGUGGUAGAGCGCUUGCCUUGCAUGCAGGAGACCCUGGGUUCGAUUCCUCAG
rnacentral:tRNA from 1 species